GCCCCCCUCAGGCCCGCAGCGCUCGGGCGGCCGGCAGCGGCCCGCGGCCCCCAGCAGCGCCGCGCCUCGCCAUGGCCGACCCCGACCCCCGCCCGCCUGUACCCGGGGCUCGACCGCUGCCGGCUCCGCGCUAGGGGCGGCCGGCGCGGGGGGCGAGGCUACCGGAGUGGCCGCCGGCCGCACCGCCCGCUCUCCGCCCCGCCGCGCUGCGAGCUGCCGCUGCUGGAGCGCCGGGCGCCGCGCCGCCGCCCGGGCUCAUGCUAGUCCUGUCGCGGCCUGCGGGUCCCGCCGGGCUCCGCGCCCCACCGUGCGGUGCCCGCCGGGGCUCAGCUCGGCCCGGCUCGCAGGCACCCGCCUACGAAGCCCCGUGCGCCGCGGGGGACCCGGCCCCCUCCCGCCCCGCCUCCUUUCCGUCCGUCCGUCCGUCUUUCCUUCCUUCCUAGCGGUGGCUCUUGCGGGAGAGUGCUGGGGCCGGGGCCGGGACUGGGGCCAUGCCCUGCCGGGGGAAGGCGGGCGCCGGGUUCCCCGUACCGCCUGCAGCAGGCAUUGAGGAGGGGGCAGCGGCGGGAAGCGGGGGAAGGACAGGGCGGCCAUAACGGCAAGGCCCGCCGGGCCUCGUCUCCCGGCCCGUCCGGGCCAACCCCGGGGCGAAGGGAUACAACAGAGGGAGGGGAGCCUAGAGAGAGGUGUAUCCCCGGGACAGCCCUACGUGGAGCCGGCGGGGUUCACCCACGCGUCCUCCACCAGCAGUGCCUUCUUUCCUCCUCGGCACCUGAAGCUCUCCCCAGGAGGGCCUGGUCAGUCACACCGCCACAUUGAAACAACAUUGCGACCUGCAAGGGUAUCCAGGACACCCUGCCUACACGCCUCGCCAACGGGAAGGAGGUUGCCCACCCUCUCACCCCAGUGGCAUAGCCUGUUUUUCUGCUUUAUGCUCGUUUAACACCUCAUGAGAUUGCAAGGACGGCACCUAGCAUGACCAGGCCUUUGGCUCUGGUGAAGCUCCCGGGUGCUACAGCAACACAAACAACAAGCAGAUUCUGCAUGUCAGGUCUUGCAAGCCCAGUCUGUCCUAGCAUCUGGCCAGAUGCUCCACCAGACUUGCAUAGAAACAUCCUGUCCAGAUUUACAGAUUGUGUAGCUGAGGAGGGACAUAACCAGUUGCCACAGUGAUGUCAGCAGGAUGAGGAGCCUUUGGACUUCAGUCUCAUGAAAGGAGGGAGAGCCUGUUCACAGAAAUGUUCCAGCUACAGAAAAGAACUGAAAGGUUAUAGCAAGCUCAGAAACAUCACAUGCUUUUGGCAAGGUGGGAUGGAGGAGGAUGAAAGGCAAAGGAGGAAAACUGCAUUAUCCCUGAUAGCUACGCCUUGAAAAUCAAUGCAAAGACCAGCAAUUUCAGAACAAAUGGACCAAGAGAAGACACGGCUAGAAACACAAAUUUCACCAAUAUCCAUCUUCUAAUAACAAUAUUCCAUCACCCCUGGCACAAUUAGAAACACCAUAUAUCUCUCUGAGGGCAUUGUCCAAGCGCUCUUGAAACAAAACAAUCAUGCACCAUUCCCAAGGAUGACUGCGGCAACUGAAUUAUCUGAAGAUGGCAAGCUGAAGCUCUCUGUGAUACUUUUUCAUAUCUGAAAAGCAGGCAAGGAAAACAAUGUCGCAGAGAGAAGCAGAUGGCCAACUGGUAUGCACUGAAAAGAUCCCUGCAGGAUGGCUGCGUGGAUCAGCCAGUUAUGGAUCAGAUCCUCUUCACAUUCACAGUUCCAAGGACUUUGGUGGGACCAUGAGUACAGCAGCUCCCACAAGCAGCAGUCCGGAGGCUGAAGCCCAAAAGGAAGCAGUUACGAUGCAGGAAAGUGGGGCUCCAAGCAGGGAUGCCCACAUCUGACCCAUCCACACCUGGCACCGGGCAGCCCGGUGCUGCACCUGGUGCAGUAUGUGAGCCUUUGUGCCAUCGUAGAGAAGUCUACCCCCAUCCCUCCACCCACUCCGUGGUGUAGGAAGUGUUACACAGACAGACUCAUGAACACCAUCUGCUCAACUGUAGUGUUUGACUCCAUCCCUCUGGCAUAUAUGUCGUGGUUUAACCCCAGCCAGCAACUAAGCACCACACAGCCGCUCACUCAUUCCCCCCACCCCUGUGGGAAGUGGGAGAGAAUCAGAAGAAUAAAAGCGAGAAAACUCGUGGGUUGAGAUAAAGACAGUUUAAUAAUGGAAAAAUAAUAAUAAUAAUAAUAAUGAUAAUAGAAUAUACAAAGCAGGUGAUGCACAGUGCAGUUGCUCACCACCUGCUGACCAAUGCCCAGCCCGUCCCUGCGCAGCAGUCACAGCCCCCCAGCCAACUCCCCCAGUUUAUAUACUGAGCAUGACAUCAUGUGGUAUGGAAUAUCCCUCUGGUCAGUUGGGGUCAGCUGUCCCAGCUGUGCCCCUUCCAGCUUCUUGUGCACCCAGCAGAGCAUGAGAAGCUGGAAAGUCCUUAACUAGUGUAAGCACUGCUCAGCAACAACUGAAACAUCGGUGUGUUAUCAACAUUAUUCUCAUCCUAAAUCCAAAACACAGCACUAUGCCAGCUACUAGGAAGAAAAUUAACUAUCCCAGCCCAGUACAUCCUAGUAUCCCAGGGCAGCAUAAUAGUCUGAGGUGGUCUAAGUACAGUAAUACAAACCUACAUUUUUCCAUUUCUAUAUGCAGUGAAGAAAAAACAAAGUUAAAAUGUACUUUUCAUCUCCCACAACAUUGCUCUUAGUUUUCUACCUGUAUUUUCUUGCACUGUCUCUUAAAAAAAAAAAAAAAAAGAAGAAACUCUUCAGUAAAAAUUAAUGGGCAUAAAUAUGCACAAUACUGACAUCUGUACAGGAACAUAAAGUCUACAGAGGAAACAACUUCUUUUUUUGGGGCAUCUUUAUUCAUUCUACUAUGAAGAAAGAAUAUUAAAUUUCAUACAUUAAUGCAAAUACAAUGAAAACUUCAAUCCAGACCAGGAAAAAAACUCUUCUUUCUAAAUAUGUGAAAUCACUACCCAUCGUUUUCCUGUUUAUAUCUACAUUUUAAAAUGAAAAGAAAAAAAGAAAAAAUUAAUUUCCAAGUACUUGGGUUGUCAAGUCAGAGGGGUUUACUAAUCCCACACAACAGUGUGUUCUGUUAGUUAUAGAAUCUACUACUUACAGCAUUUCUGUAGCUUGGAAUACAAGUAAGUGAAAUAGCUUCCCAGCGUUCUGGGACUUAUGACAGCUAGUUAAGACAGAGGCACACAAUCUAAUAUCUUCCCUUUUUAAAAGCUGGCCAGUGAUUUCGCUUGCCUCUUCUUUCAUAGUGAAGAGGGUGAUGUUUUUAAAUUUAUUUUUCACCAAAGUCUGAAGUCCCACAACUGCAAAUGUGACCUGUUGGCUCUCACUGGGCUUCAACAUCCCAGAAAAAAGCAAGGAGAAAAUCGGUUCCCAGCAGGCUCCAACUGAGAGUCCUAAAAGGGGAACAUUCCAGUGCACCGCAUGCUCUCCAGAGCAUCCCAGGGAGCUCGGCCGGCACCAUGCAGGGAGCAGAGUUAGGAACAGCACUCACGUCUCCUAGUGCCAGCCCUGCAUCCUAACGAGAGACCAAAAAGAUGAUCAUCAUGCACAUAUUAUCUGUGGGUUACAUGUCAGCUUUCCCUUUAUUGACAAGCAUAGAGAGAUGGACAGAGAGGCUUUUGAGACACAUAGAUACAAAUGAUCCCAAUCUUUCAUUUAUCUUUAAUGCUAAACUACCUGUAAAACGUCCCCUGAAAAAAUAAUUUAAUGGGGUUUUUUUUGCUCAACCUUAUGAUAAAACAGUUUUGUUUGACGUGGGGAAGAAUGGCAUAGGAAAAAAAAAAAGGGACAUACUUUUAAUGUAGCAGUGAUUUAGGGUAGGAAGAAAAACAGAGACUGCGCACAGGGCUCAUUACUACACCAAAACCUUUCACCUGUAAGGGGAAGCCCCACCAGCCCCAGGCUCAUGCCGCAAUCAGCUUACAUCUGAAAGUUCAGUUCUGCCCCACCUCAGCCCAGUUCCCAGCGGGCCUGCCUGCGUGCCUCUAGACCAUCCCACCAGUCCCACCACCAGCACUUUCUGCUCAGAGCUAGGAAGAGGAGGAAAGCAGAAGCAUUUGAAAUGCUGAUGGUUAUCUGAAACCCUAUAUCCAAAUAAGCAAAAGGGCCAACUCCAAGCAAGAGGGCUGUUUCUGGUUCUCAUAAGACACAGCAGUUGCCAAACUAAGAAAAAUACUGAACUGUUAAAUGAAACACAAAAGGAUGACACAGUUCAACACUUACUGAACAUUUGCGUGCGGACAGGACUGGCUUGUCUGGGGUGAUUAAAGCAAUGUAGAUCAAACCUUGCAGCAUGCACUUCUGAGCACUCUUCCAAGCCUGGGUAGGCCAGCCAGCCACUGCAAAACCCAGCUAAGGGAAAGCUGUUUCUCCAGAGGCUGGCAAAAAUACAGCAUGCCCCCCCCCCAGCCAGAAGCCAGUGCCUGCAUGCUCCGGGCAUCCACAGCAUCUUGGUACCCCCUGGCAUUUCUACACCCUGCUCUGCUCCUGGGUGUCCCUGGCGGAGACAGGGAAGACAAGGAAACCCUGCUCAGGCAGGGGAAUAUCCCACCAGCAGGCUGGUGCACCUCAUCUUCCUGCGCACAGCCCUGCAUGAGCCGCAGCCCCGGUGAGAUGGGCUCUGCCUGCUCAGUAAAACCCAUCAGUGCAGGGUUAGGAGGAUUACACCGCGACUAAAUGAAAGACUCCCUUCAAAGACAUCGAGCCAUACCUUUGAUCCUGAUGAUACUCUGCUGCAUGGAGAUGCAGCAAGUGCAGGACGUGCAGCCGUAAUUCCCUGACGGGACCGGCUGCUUUUCUGCUAGAAGACAAGCCUAGAUGUACUACUGUCACCACAAGACUCCUGCAAUAAACUCACAUUCAUUGAGUCCAGAAUUCUAUGUUUUAGUCAUCUGAACAGCAGAUAGCAUUUGUAACCUGCUCCAAUACCCUGACUCUCAGGAAAAGACAUUAAAGAAAGCAACUAUUCAACUUACUAUUCUAACAUUCUGUAAAUUGGAGAUCUAUUAGUGGAACCAACAGAAUAGAGGAGGUCGGGGGAGGAAAUAUUAAUAUUGCAAUUAUUCAGUUCAUACCAUUUAGUAAGCUAUUCACCAAAAAUAUGAAAAGGCAGCAUUUGAAAAUAUUUAGAGAAACACAUUCUUAAGUGAGGCUUGAAAGCCAUCUGAAUAAAUACAGCAGAAAUCUUCUACGGGUGUGAGUUUAUAACUAUGAUUUAUAUUCUGAUAGCCAAGCAAUGAAUGCAGUUUGUCAGGCACCUGAAACUGCUUCACAUUUAUGAUUCAUUUGCACAAGAACUACUUUCAAUGGCUUCAUUGUUUUUUAUUUUAAUUAUAAGACCAUUAAAAUAGAUGAAAGGCUCCAGCAAUCUCCAAUAUGUAUUUAGCCCAAUAUUCAGCCUCCUAAAGUGGCCAGCAGUGCACAGUGAGGGGAGGAUAAGGCAGCAUUCAUACCUCCCCCUAAUAAUCUCUGUGUCUCCCCCCAUUUUCAGCUCAAGGGAUUUGCUGUGCCUGCUGUGAUUCCUCUAUCGAGUAGUCUCCGUGAGACCUCUCUCUGCCAAAGGCUUGCCCAGUCUCUCCAUCAGCCUACGUGAACUUCUUGCACCCACAGCAUCGUCCAGCCAGAAGUCCUGCAGGUCACUCCCUCUGGCAUGAAGAAUCACCUCCUCUUUCUUUUGAACCCAGCUCACUACACUUUUAUUUCCCCAAAAAAUUAUUUUGGCCAUGACAAGCAGUACCUGCAUGAGCAACAACUUUAAAGUGUGUCACAUGAGGCAUUAUGGCUAGAAGCUGAAGCAUCACAUCAUUGCACCUUAUGAUUAUGUCAUCUUUAUACACUAGCACAGAUUUAUACACGUUUUUGACUUUGCCUGAUUUGAUGGGACAGUGGUUACUGAGCAUUCCAAACAGUUUAAUUUUUUGAGGAUAACAUCACUCUCAAUAUAGAAAGAAUUCAGCAGUGGCAUUAUUGAAUACCAGUAUUUAUAACCAAGGUUGCAUGCACAAGCAUGCAUGACAAAAGCUGACCACAAUAUGCUCUUUCUUCAGAGAAGAAACAGUUCACCUCAUCUCUUACCAUGCGGAAUGUUUUCAUCCCUGAUGUGUUGCAUUUGAAAAUAAUGAACUCUUGCCUUAUUUUACCAGGCAAGCUGAAUGUAGUCAAGAGAUGGUAGUGAUAUAAUCUACUUUUCAGUGUAGGGUUAUGAAACUUAUAAUGAACCAUCCCACACAGUUUUUAUAUCAGACAGUUUCCAGAAAAGUUAUUUUAGAUUAUUUUUUCUGUUGAAAAGUGGUUAUGGCAUUGUGCAAAAUAUCCUGCCUGCAGAAAUCAAAGUACUUCAGUCUCCAAUCUUGCAGUGGUUGCUUUAGGUUGGCAAAUUCUUCAAACUCUAACCCUGUUUCUCCAGGAGUUCACCUACAUCAUCGUUGCAGGAUGAUGGAUCUGUCUAGGUCUUCCCCAGCUUCAUCACAAUUGUGCCUGGAAACUUAUGAGGAGCCAUAGUGACAGGGAUGACUGCAGAUGAACUAAGAAAAUGAGUGUAACUUUUUUUUUUUUUAACCACCAACGGGCCAUCUCUCUAGAGUUUAUGAAGACACAAUGGAAAGAAUCUGACAAAGGCACGCAAAAAGAGUACUAGAUCGUAACUGUGACACACAGGAAGUAUUCUUAAGGCAGCUCUCUGGGUAACGAAGACAAAAAAUGCAGCAUUCUGCUGUACUGUAAAAGCUAAGCACCACGUAGUGCCCUCUGCUGCAUACAGAGGUAAUAGGCGAAGCACCACUGAACAAUGACAUCAUUUUAUAUUAAACAACACGGUAUGUUGUAUAUAUGACAAAUAUUUAUUUCCUUAAUUACUCUUGUUUUCUAAACAUACUAAUAAAUUAUGCAAACACCUUCCA